GAUGAACGUUGGCGGUGUGCCUAAUACAUGCAAGUCGAACGGAGUUAAUAGCAAUAUUGACUUAGUGGCGCACGGGUGAGUAACGCGUGGGUAAUCUACCCUUGGAUUUGGGAUAACUCUGCGAAAGUGGAGCUAAUACCGGAUAGUCUGGCUUUAAAUAAGAAGUCGGUAAAGGAUGCCUCUGCAUAUGCAUUCGUCCGAGGAUGAGCCCGCGUCUCAUUAGCUAGUUGGUAGGGUAAUGGCCUACCAAGGCAACGAUGAGUAGCUGGUCUGAGAGGAUGAUCAGCCACACUGGAACUGAAACACGGUCCAGACUCCUACGGGAGGCAG
rnacentral:rRNA from 1 species